AGCUCGUAGGCGGUUUGUCGCGUCUGCCGUGAAAGUCCGGGGCUCAACUCCGGAUCUGCGGUGGGUACGGGCAGACUAGAGUGAUGUAGGGGAGACUGGAAUUCCUGGUGUAGCGGUGAAAUGCGCAGAUAUCAGGAGGAACACCGAUGGCGAAGGCAGGUCUCUGGGCAUUAACUGACGCUGAGGAGCGAAAGCAUGGGGAGCGAACAGGAUUAGAUACCCUGGUAGUCCAUGCCGUAAACGUUGGGCACUAGGUGUGGGGGACAUUCCAUGUUUUCCGCGCCGUAGCUAACGCAUUAAGUGCCCCGCCUGGGGAGUACGGCCGCAAGGCUAAAACUCAAAGGAAUUGACGGGGGCCCGCACAAGCGGCGGAGCAUGCGGAUUAAUUCGAUGCAACGCGAAGAACCUUACCAAGGCUUGGCAUGGACCGGACCGGGCUGGAAACAGUCCUUCCCCUUUGGGGCCGGUUCACAGGUGGUGCAUGGUUGUCGUCAGCUCGUGUCGUGAGAUGUUGGGUUAAGUCCCGCAGCGAGCGCAACCCUCGUUCCAUGUUGCCAGCGCGUAAUGGCGGGGACUCAUGGGAGACUGCCGGGGUCAACUCGGAGGAAGGUGGGGACGACGUCAAAUCAUCAUGCCCCUUAUGUCUUGGGCUUCACGCAUGCUACAAUGGCCGGUACAAAGGGUUGCGAUACUGUGAGGUGGAGCUAAUCCCAAAAAGCCGGUCUCAGUUCGGAUUGGGGUCUGCAACUCGACCCCAUGAAGUCGGAGUCGCUAGUAAUCGCAGAUCAGCAACGCUGCGGUGAAUACGUUCCCGGGCCUUGUACACACCGCCCGUCAAGUCACGAAAGUUGGUAACACCCGAAGCCGGUGGCCUAACCCCUUGUGGGAGGGA
rnacentral:rRNA from 1 species